CCAUCAGUAAGGUUUAUCCUUACCUGUUGUUUUAAAAAUAAGAUUACAGUACAUGAUGAUUGGAUUCUGUGUUCAUAUAGGGUCAGUCACCUGUUUAUGAAUUCUAUCUGAU